CAACUGGAGGAUCCCUUAAUCCAAUUAAAGGAGGAUUAUAAAUGGAUAGAUGUCUUCGAUUUCCACUGGAGAUUGGGAAUCGAUGGACUUUCAUUAGGAUCUAUUUUAUUGACAGGAUUUAUCACUACUUUAGCUACUUUAGCAGCUUGGCCAAUUACACGGAAUUCGCGAUUAUUCUAUUUCCUGAUGCUCGCAAUGUAUAGUGGUCAAAUAGGAUUAUUUUCUUCGCGAGACCUUUUAUUUUUUAUCAUGUGGGAGUUAGAAUUAAUUCAUGUUUACUUACUUUUAUCCAUGUGGGGGGGGAAGAGGCGUCUAUAUUCAGCUACAAAGUUUAUUUUGUAUACUGCAGGCGGUUCCAUUUUUUUCUUAAUCGGAGUUCUGGGUAUGGGCUUAUAUGGUUCCAACGAACCAGGAUUAGAUUUGGAAAGAUUAAUUAAUCAAUCAUACCCUGCAACCUUGGAAAUACUUUUAUUUCUGCACAAAAACAACACCAUGGUAGUUCUGCUGAAAACAACGUCAGUCCGGAGUUAUUUUCAUUCAAAUCAUGCAAAUUAG
rnacentral:rRNA from 1 species